UGGGGUGCUUCCAGUUUCCCUAUAAAAUGAAGUUUUGUCUUUAACACUGUUUGCAGAAUGAGUUUUGUAAAAUUUAAUUUUAGAAGGAUGGUUCUAGACAGGGGUUUUGAAAAGGAUUUCAAAGUACCAGGACUGUGAUUGUUAUUAAAAUUCCCUUCGGGGCGAAAGAAAAACAAUAACAAUGACAGUAUUGGUUUCUCAGCUAUAGGAUUGACAACCAUGCACCACUUAAAGCGUUUCUAGACGCGUGCUCUGGGUUUAUGGACGCCUAACAGUCUCCUUGUUGACCUGCUCGAGCCUAGGCUGGGUAGGAUAACAGGAUGAGGAGGGAAGGUAAAGUACAAAUCCAAAAACCAGCAGAAGUAGUCAAACCAGAAGAGGACAGCUGAGAGAGAGAGAGAGAGAGAGAGAGAGAGAUAGAGAGAGAGAGAGAGAGAGAGAGAGAGUGAAG